CUUAAGCAUAUCAAUAAGCGGAGGAAAAGAAACCAACAGGGAUUGCCCUAGUAACGGCGAGUGAAGCGGCAACAGCUCAAAUUUGAAAUCUGGCCCUCGGGUCCGAGUUGUAAUUUGUAGAGGAUGCUUUUGGCGCGGUGCCUUCCGAGUUCCCUGGAACGGGACGCCUUAGAGGGUGAGAGCCCCGUACGGUUGGACACCAAGCCUCUGUAAAGCUCCUUCGACGAGUCGAGUAGUUUGGGAAUGCUGCUCUAAAUGGGAGGUAAAUUUCUUCUAAAGCUAAAUAUUGGCCAGAGACCGAUAGCGCACAAGUAGAGUGAUCGAAAGAUGAAAAGCACUUUGAAAAGAGGGUUAAAUAGCACGUGAAAUUGUUGAAAGGGAAGCGUUUGCGACCAGACCUUUUCCUAGCGGAUCAACCGGUGUUCUCACCGGUGCACUUCGCUAGGUUUAGGCCAGCAUCGGUUUCUGUAGGGGGAUAAAAGCUCUGGGAACGUAGCUCCUCCGGGAGUGUUAUAGCCCUCUGCAUAAUACCCUUACGGGGACCGAGGACCGCGCUUCGGCAAGGAUGCUGGCGUAAUGGUCGUCAACGACCCGUCUUGAAACACGGACCAAGGAGUCGAACAUUUGUGCGAGUGUUUGGGUGUUAAACCCUCACGCGUAAUGAAAGUGAACGGAGGUGAGAGCCCUUACGGGUGCAUCAUCGACCGAUCCUGAUGUCUUCGGAUGGAUUUGAGUAAGAGCAUAACUGUUCGGACCCGAAAGAUGGUGAACUAUGCGUGGAUAGGGUGAAGCCAGAGGAAACUCUGGUGGAGGCUCGCAGCGGUUCUGACGUGCAAAUCGAUCGUCAAAUCUGCGCAUGGGGGCGAAAGACUUAUCGAACCAUCUAGUAGCUGGUUACCGCCGAA
rnacentral:rRNA from 1 species